UACGAAGGGGGCUAGCGUUGUUCGGAAUUACUGGGCGUAAAGGGCGCGUAGGCGGUGUGUCAAGUCAGGCGUGAAAGCCCCGGGCUCAACCUGGGAACAGCGCUUGAGACUGGCACGCUCGAGUUCGGGAGAGGAUGGUGGAAUUCCCAGUGUAGAGGUGAAAUUCGUAGAUAUUGGGAAGAACACCGAUGGCGAAGGCAGCCAUCUGGACCGACACUGACGCUGAGACGCGAAAGCAUGGGGAGCGAACGGG
rnacentral:rRNA from 1 species